rnacentral:rRNA from 1 species
UGGGGAAUCUUGCGCAAUGGGCGAAAGCCUGACGCAGCCAUGCCGCGUGAAUGAUGAAGGUCUUAGGAUUGUAAAAUUCUUUCAGCAGGGACGAUAAUGACGGUACCUGCAGAAGAAGCCCCGGCUAACUUCGUGCCAGCAGCCGCGGUAAUACGAAGGGGGCUAGCGUUGCUCGGAAUUACUGGGCGUAAAGGGCGCGUAGGCGGGUCGUUUAGUUAGAGGUGAAAGCCCAGGGCUCAACCCUGGAAUUGCCUUUAAUACUGGCGGCCUUGAGUAUGAGAGAGGUGUGUGGAACUCCGAGUGUAGAGGUGAAAUUCGUAGAUAUUCGGAAGAACACCAGUGGCGAAGGCGGCACACUGGCUCAUUACUGACGCUGAGGCGCGAAAGCGUGGGGAGCAAAC